ensembl:snRNA U6 U6 spliceosomal RNA
GUGCUUUCUUUGGCAGCACAUAUACUAAAAUUAGAACAAUUCAGAAAAGAUUAGCAUGGUCCCUGUGCAAGGAUGACACGCAAAUUCAUGAAGCAUUCAGUAUUUUU